ensembl:lncRNA
UGUGGAAGCGUGGAGACGGACAAAGAAAACAAGACGAUAGACUCGAUCAGCCCUGAAGCUUUGUCCAACCUACUUACAAGAAUAAUGUCAAAAUUGUACUGAGUCGCUGGAGAUCCUCCGGUCAACAAUGAACAUCUGGUGGUCCGGCGUUUACGGAGGGGGCGGAGGAACAUCUGCAGACGACACAGGCGGGGGGGCUUCAGGCCCAGCGCCUCUAUCCUAUUAAUAGGAUAAUUGUGUUGGGCGGGAGGUGGAACAUCACUGAUGUCACGCAGGUUGAGGACAAUCAGACUCUUGAUCUGACCGAGGGGCGAUGUGGGAAGAAGGAACUGGGCCGUCCUGCAAAACCUGCACGGAGGGAAAAGUCAAUGCGGAAGGAUGAAAAGGGAGAUCGUUAGUGAAUUAGCUCAAAGGUUACAGGGUAAUUGCUUCCUUGGAGGGCGUCUAACUUCUUUUCAAAGUGAAGGAGAUGAAGUGCUGGGAUCAGAAAAGGUUUCAUCAGGAUCCAGAAAAAGUGAGGGGAAGGAAUCCAGUUGAGGCGAUGAGGAGGGAGCGUGGGGGAGGGUUCAAUGCGACGUACGUAAACGGUCUCUGACCCACAGGUAGAAAGUAUUUAAGAAUCAGACCACCUGAGGGCAGCAGUGAUCCACACCGGAGCCACGCUCAUCCUUUUCUCUCCCGAAUCACAUCUGGAAAUCCACAUCAAGUCUCCCAGAAUAUGAGACUGAAAAGAGGACCAAAAACCCGUUUGGAUAUUCCUCAAGCUGUCUGCUUAAAAGAUGCGUCCGGGCUUCACCUGGUCACAUGUUUGUCCCUCACAACUAAAGCAUUAAGUGUGAAAUCGAUCUUAUAAAACACUGAUUAUAUAGAAUUUUCGUAUUCAUCACGUCAUUGUUAAUUGUUAAUUAACUUUACCAUUUUAAUUAAAUCGUUCAUUAUCAGUAAACAAUGUAGGAAAUUGAUAAACAGUCCUCACCGUGUUAUUAGACGGUAAUUAACUUCUAAACGAUGACCGAUGUGCUUCCUCACACAGAUUAGCAGGGUUACUUCAUUCAUUACAUUUAUCUUUGGUUGGAUCAUGUAAUCGGUUUACAGCAUAUUCCGCUAAUCUAAAU